rnacentral:rRNA from 1 species
GACACGGUAUCCUAGCGGCUCGCACUGACGACGGAGUUCUUAGUGAGCACGACAUACCAUGCCCUUUGCCCGUCUCCUAUCACUCCCUGGCUGUCCGCAUUAUGGAAAGCCCCCGUACCUUUAAAGAUUAAGAUUUUUGUUUGGCGACUACUACGGGAUCGCCUCCCCUCGGGGACGAAGGUACGUAAGCGGCACAGACCUAGUGAUGGUCUAUGCCCUCUCUAUGCAGUACCUGAGACCGGGACCCAUAUCCUCUUCUUGUGUACGGCGGCAAGGGUACUAUGGACUUACGUCCGUGAGGCAUUGGGGCCCGACUGGGAGACCUUGAACCUUGUGGAGUUUCUCCAACAUAGAGCUUUACAGCAGUCGCGGCAUCGCUGCCUAUUUUGGCUUGUUUUUGUGGCGAUGUCGUGAGCUCUUUGGACGACUAGGAAUAAGAUGGUGAUCGAAAAGGUUUUUCCAAGGAAGGCAUGUGACUCCUUCAAAUUCCUUGUUUUUCUACAGCAAUGGCACCCGCUCUUGAGGCAGCAUGAUCGCGAUCAACUCGGUCUUAUGAUGGAUGUGCUAUUGGCUUCAGCGCGUCAUUUAUCGUCCUCGUAG